rnacentral:rRNA from 1 species
AGCGAACGCUGGCGGCAGGCUUAACACAUGCAAGUCGAGCGGGCGUAGCAAUACGUCAGCGGCAGACGGGUGAGUAACGCGUGGGAACGUACCUUUUGGUUCGGAACAACCCAGGGAAACUUGGGCUAAUACCGGAUAAGCCCUUACGGGGAAAGAUUUAUCGCCGAAAGAUCGGCCCGCGUCUGAUUAGCUAGUUGGUGAGGUAACGGCUCACCAAGGCGACGAUCAGUAGCUGGUCUGAGAGGAUGAUCAGCCACAUUGGGACUGAGACACGGCCCAAACUCCUACGGGAGGCAGCAGUGGGGAAGUAUUGGACAAUGGGCGCAAGCCUGAUCCAGCCAUGCCGCGUGAGUGAUGAAGGCCCUAGGGUUGUAAAGCUCUUUUGUGCGGGAAGAUAAUGACGGUACCGCAAGAAUAAGCCCCCGGCUAACUUCGUGCCAG